rnacentral:rRNA from 1 species
AACGAACGCUGGCGGCAUGCCUAACACAUGCAAGUCGAACGAGAAGUCCGGGACCUGUGGCGCACGGCUGCGUAAGGCGUGGGAACCUGCCCUCAGGUUUGGAAUAACUCCCCGAAAGGGGUGCCAAUACCGGACAAUGUCUUCGGACCAAAGAUUUAUCGCCUUUGGAUGGUCCCGCGUUGGAUUAGGUAGUUGGUACGGUAAAAGCCUACCAAGGCGCCGAUCAAUAGCUGGUUUUGGAGGAAGAUUAGCAACACCGAGGCUGAGACACGGCCCAGACUCCUACGGAAGGGAGCAGAGGGUAAUAUUGGAAAAUGGGCGAAAGCCUGAUCCAGCAAUGCCGCGUGAGUUAUGAAGUCCUGAGAGUUGUAAAGCUCUAUUACCCGGGAUGAUAAUGACAGUACCGGGAGAAUAAGCUCCGGCUAACUCCGUG